GACGCGGUGGCCUAAUGGUUAGCGUGUUGGACUCUGGAUCGAGCGGUCCGGGUUCAAGCGCCGAUCGGGCUCACUGUGUCG
rnacentral:tRNA from 1 species